UACGUAGGUGGCGAGCGUUGUCCGGAAUUACUGGGCGUAAAGGGCGCGUAGGCGGCCGCCUAAGUCAGACGUGAAAUCCCUCGGCUCAACCGGGGAACUGCGUCUGAUACUGGGUGGCUUGAAUCCGGGAGAGGGAUGCGGAAUUCCAGGUGUAGCGGUGAAAUGCGUAGAUAUCUGGAGGAACACCGGUGGCGAAGGCGGCAUCCUGGACCGGCAUUGACGCUGAGGCGCGAAAGCCAGGGGAGCAAACGGG
rnacentral:rRNA from 1 species